AAUAGAUACCCCGGUAGUCCACGCCGUAAACGAUGAGUGCUAAGUGUUAGAGGGUUUCCGCCCUUUAGUGCUGCAGCUAACGCAUUAAGCACUCCGCCUGGGGAGUACGGCCGCAAGGCUGAAACUCAAAGGAAUUGACGGGGGCCCGCACAAGCGGUGGAGCAUGUGGUUUAAUUCGAAGCAACGCGAAGAACCUUGCCAGGUCUUGACAUCCUCUGCCAACCCUAGAGAUAGGGCGUUCCCCUUCGGGGGACAGAGUGACAGGUGGUGCAUGGUUGUCGUCAGCUCGUGUCGUGAGAUGUUGGGUUAAGUCCCGCAACGAGCGCAACCCUUGAUCUUAGUUGCCAGCAUUUAGUUGGGCACUCUAAGGUGACUGCCGGUGACAAACCGGAGGAAGGUGGGGAUGACGUCAAAUCAUCAUGCCCCUUAUGACCUGGGCUACACACGUGCUACAAUGGAUGGUACAAAGAGCUGCGAACCCGCGAGGGUAAGCCAAUCUCAUAAAGCCAUUCUCAGUUCGGAUUGUAGG
rnacentral:rRNA from 1 species